rfam:Chrysochromulina sp. CCMP291 CAF.Contig9355, whole genome shotgun sequence.
UCGAUGCUGGUGGAAUGGUAUACACGAUUGAUUUAAAAUCAAUUGCCUACGGCUUAAACGUUCGAGUCGUUUGCGUCGAA